rnacentral:rRNA from 1 species
GAUGAACGCUGGCGGCGUGCCUAAUACAUGCAAGUAGAACGCUGAAGCUUGGUGCUUGCACCGAGCGGAAGAGUUGCGAACGGGUGAGUAACGCGUAGGUAACCUGCCUCUUAGCGGGGGAUAACUAUUGGAAACGAUAGCUAAUACCGCAUAAAAGUCGACAUUGCAUGAUGUUGACUUGAAAGGUGCAAAUGCAUCACUAAGAGAUGGACCUGCGUUGUAUUAGCUAGUUGGUGAGGUAACGGCUCACCAAGGCGACGAUACAUAGCCGACCUGAGAGGGUGAUCGGCCACACUGGGACUGAGACACGGCCCAG